AUGCAAGUCGAGCGGUAGAGAGAAGCUUGCUUCUCUUGAGAGCGGCGGACGGGUGAGUAAUGCCUAGGAAUCUGCCUGGUAGUGGGGGAUAACGUUCGGAAACGGACGCUAAUACCGCAUACGUCCUACGGGAGAAAGCAGGGGACCUUCGGGCCUUGCGCUAUCAGAUGAGCCUAGGUCGGAUUAGCUAGUUGGUGGGGUAAUGGCUCACCAAGGCGACGAUCCGUAACUGGUCUGAGAGGAUGAUCAGUCACACUGGAACUGAGACACGGUCCAGACUCCUACGGGAGGCAGCAGUGGGGAAUAUUGGACAAUGGGCGAAAGCCUGAUCCAGCCAUGCCGCGUGUGUGAAGAAGGUCUUCGGAUUGUAAAGCACUUUAAGUUGGGAGGAAGGGUUGUAGAUUAAUACUCUGCAAUUUUGACGUUACCGACAGAAUAAGCACCGGCUAACUCUGUGCCAGCAGCCGCGGUAAUACAGAGGGUGCAAGCGUUAAUCGGAAUUACUGGGCGUAAAGCGCGCGUAGGUGGUUUGUUAAGUUGGAUGUGAAAUCCCCGGGCUCAACCUGGGAACUGCAUUCAAAACUGACUGACUAGAGUAUGGUAGAGGGUGGUGGAAUUUCCUGUGUAGCGGUGAAAUGCGUAGAUAUAGGAAGGAACACCAGUGGCGAAGGCGACCACCUGGACUAAUACUGACACUGAGGUGCGAAAGCGUGGGGAGCAAACAGGAUUAGAUACCCUGGUAGUCCACGCCGUAAACGAUGUCAACUAGCCGUUGGAAGCCUUGAGCUUUUAGUGGCGCAGCUAACGCAUUAAGUUGACCGCCUGGGGAGUACGGCCGCAAGGUUAAAACUCAAAUGAAUUGACGGGGCCCGCACAAGCGGUGG
rnacentral:rRNA from 1 species